UACCAACCCGAUGCAAACUACGAAUACCGAAGAAUGUUAUCACGGGAGACACACGGCGGGUGCUAACGUCCGUCGUGAAGAGGGAAACAACCCAGACCGCCAGCUAAGGUCCCAAAGUCAUGGUUAAGUGGGAAACGAUGUGGGAAGGCACAGACAGCCAGGAUGUUGGCUUAGAAGCAGCCAUCAUUUAAAGAAAGCGUAAUAGCUCACUGGUCGAGUCGGCCUGCGCGGAAGAUGUAACGGGGCUAAACCAUGCACCGAAGCUGCGGCAGCGACACUAUGUGUUGUUGGGUAGGGGAGCGUUCUGUAAGCCUGCGAAGGUGUGCUGUGAGGCAUGCUGGAGGUAUCAGAAGUGCGAAUGCUGACAUAAGUAACGAUAAAGCGGGUGAAAAGCCCGCUCGCCGGAAGACCAAGGGUUCCUGUCCAACGUUAAUCGGGGCAGGGUGAGUCGACCCCUAAGGCGAGGCCGAAAGGCGUAGUCGAUGGGAAACAGGUUAAUAUUCCUGUACUUGGUGUUACUGCGAAGGGGGGACGGAGAAGGCUAUGUUAGCCGGGCGACGGUUGUCCCGGUUUAAGCAUGUAGGCUGGUUAUCCAGGCAAAUCCGGAUAAUCAAGGCUGAGGUGUGAUGACGAGGCACUACGGUGCUGAAGUAACAAAUGCCCUGCUUCCAGGAAAAGCCUCUAAGCAUCAGGUAACAUCAAAUCGUACCCCAAACCGACACAGGUGGUCAGGUAGAGAAUACCAAGGCGCUUGAGAGAACUCGGGUGAAGGAACUAGGCAAAAU
rnacentral:rRNA from 1 species